rnacentral:ncRNA from 1 species
AAAUAGAGGCGCGGGCUUCAUCAGUAGUCGGUCGGAUAUGUGUCCUGUACGGGAAUACACCGACGAAAGGGGAUACCGCCGAGGUUUUUGUAUCUUUCCCGGGGUGCAUCUGCCGGUAUAACGCAGAAUAUGCGUUGUACUGUCGUUUUUAACGGAGAGCUAUUCG